ACGGGUGAGUAAUACGUAGGAACCGACCCUAAAGCGGGGGAUAACCCGGGGAAACUCGGGCUAAUACCGCAUACGGCUUCAGAGUCAAAGCUUGGGACCUUCGGGCCAAGCACUUUAGGCCGGGCCUACGACAGAUUAGCUAGUUGGUGAGGUGAAGGCUUACCAAGGCGACGAUCUGUAGCUGGUCUGAGAGGACGACCAGCCACACUGGGACUGAGACACGGCCCAGACUCCUACGGGAGGCAGCAGUGGGGAAUCUUGGACAAUGGGGGCAACCCUGAUCCAGCGAUGCCGCGUGUGUGAAGAAGGCCUGCGGGUUGUAAAGCACUUUUAUUGGGGAAGAAAGGCCUUGUACGAAUAGUGCAAGGAGUUGACGUUACCCAAAGAAAAAGCACCGGCUAACUCUGUGCCAGCAGCCGCGGUAAUACAGAGGGUGCGAGCGUUAAUCGGAAUUACUGGGCGUAAAGGGCGCGUAGGUGGUUAUUUAAGUUAGAUGUGAAAUCCCAGGGCUCAACCCUGGCACUGCAUUUGAUACUGAAUGACUAGAGUACAGUAGAGGGAAGUGGAAUUUCCGGUGU
rnacentral:rRNA from 1 species